AGUGAACGCUGGCGGUAGGCCUAACACGUGCAAGUCGAACGGCAGCACAGUAAGAGCUUGCUCUUACGGGUGGCGAGUGGCGGACGGGUGAGGAAUACAUCGGAAUCUACUUUUUCGUGGGGGAUAACGUAGGGAAACUUACGCUAAUACCGCAUACGACCUACGGGUGAAAGCAGGGGAUCUUCGGACCUUGCGCGGUUGAAUGAGCCGAUGUCGGAUUAGCUAGUUGGCGGGGUAAAGGCCCACCAAGGCGACGAUCCGUAGCUGGUCUGAGAGGAUGAUCAGCCACACUGGAACUGAGACACGGUCCAGACUCCUACGGGAGGCAGCAGUGGGGAAUAUUGGACAAUGGGCGCAAGCCUGAUCCAGCCAUACCGCGUGGGUGAAGAAGGCCUUCGGGUUGUAAAGCCCUUUUGUUGGGAAAGAAAAGCAGCAGGUUAAUACCCCGCUGUUCUGACGGUACCCAAAGAAUAAGCACCGGCUAACUUCGUG
rnacentral:rRNA from 1 species